AUUGAACGCUGGCGGCAGGCCUAACACAUGCAAGUCGCGCGGAGCGGCGGACGGGUGAGUAAUGCCUAGGAAUCUGCCUGGUAGUGGGGGAUAACGUCCGGAAACGGGCGCUAAUACCGCAUACUAUCAGCUUAGCCUAGGUCGGAUUAGCUAGUUGGUGGGGUAACGGCCUACCUAGGCGACGAUCCCUAGCUGGUCUGAGAGGAUGACCAGCCACACUGGAACUGAGACACGGUCCAGACUCCUACGGGAGGCAGCAGUGGGGAAGAUGGCACAAAGGGCGCAAGCAUGAUGCAGCCAUGCCGCGUGUAUGAAGAAGGCCUGCGGGUUGUAAAGUACUUUCAGCGGGGAGGCGUUACCCGCAGAAGAAGCACCGGCUAACUCCGUGCCAGCAGCCGCGGUAAUAC
rnacentral:rRNA from 1 species